GCCUGGGUGGCUCAGUCGGUUAAGCGUCUGACUUCAGCUCAGGUCACGAUCUCACGGUCUGUGAGUUCGAGCCCCGCGUCGGGCU
rfam:Felis catus isolate Cinnamon breed Abyssinian chromosome C2, whole genome shotgun sequence.